AUUGCUUGGAAGAUCAAAUGGCCUAGGUUUCGUUCUUUUAGCCGAGGCUGAUCAUAAGAAAGACUACAUUGGGAUUACAAAGGCGCGGCAUCUAAGGGUGUAAUUAGUUUUUGAAAUUUCAAGUCUGUAUUAGAAUUGAAUGUGUCUUUGUUAGGUAAGUUUUAUAUCAGUUGUUGCAACAGAAAUUCAACAACUUCAUACCCUCACAAGUGGGGUCGGGUGAGGGUGGUGUAUAUACGACUUUACACCUAUCCUGUGAAGGUAGAU
rnacentral:misc_RNA from 1 species